rnacentral:rRNA from 1 species
GACGAACGCUGGCGGCGUGCUUAACACAUGCAAGUCGAACGGAAAGGCCCUGCUUGCAGGGUACUCGAGUGGCGAACGGGUGAGUAACACGUGGGUGAUCUGCCCUGCACUUCGGGAUCAGCCUGGGAAACUGGGUCUAAUACCGGAUAGGAGCCAUUCUUAGUGUGAUGGUUGGAAAGUUUUUUCGGUGUAGGAUGAGCUCGCGGCCUAUCAGCUUGUUGGUGGGGUAAUGGCCUACCAAGGCGGCGACGGGUAGCCGGCCUGGGAGGGUGGACGGGCACAUUGGGGCUGGGGUACGGCCCAGACUCCUACGGGGGGCAGCAGGGGGGAAUAUUGCACAAUGGGCGCAAGCCUGGAGCAGCGACGCCGCGGGGGGGAUGACGGGCUUCGGGUUGGAAACUCCUUUCGAUAGGGACGAAGCUUUUUGUGACGGUACCUAGAGAAGAAGCACCGGCUAACUACGUG